AUUGAACGCUGGCGGCAGGCUUAACACAUGCAAGUCGAGCGGAGCGAGGGUGCUUGCACCUUAGCUUAGCGGCGGACGGGUGAGUAAUGCUUAGGAAUCUGCCUAUUAGUGGGGGACAACAUUCCGAAAGGAAUGCUAAUACCGCAUACGCCCUACGGGGGAAAGCAGGGGAUCUUUGGACCUUGCGCUAAUAGAUGAGCCUAAGUCGGAUUAGCUAGUUGGUGGGGUAAAGGCCUACCAAGGCGACGAGCUGUAGCGGGUCUGAGAGGAUGAGCCGGCACACUGGGACUGAGACACGGCCCAGACGCCUACGGGAGGCAGACGUGGGGAAUAUUGGACAAUGGGCGGAAGCCUGAUCCAGCCAUGCCGCGUGUGUGAAGAAGGCCUUUUGGUUGUAAAGCACUUUAAGCGAGGGGGAGGAGCUCUAGGUUAAUACCCUAGAUGCUUGGACGUUACUCGCAGAAUAAGCACCGGCUAACUCUGUGCCAGCCGCCGCGGUAAAAC
rnacentral:rRNA from 1 species